CUAUACAUGCAAGUAGAACGCUGAAGAGAGGAGCUUGCUCUUCUUGGAUGAGUUGCGAACGGGUGAGUAACGCGUAGGUAACCUGCCUGGUAGCGGGGGAUAACUAUUGGAAACGAUAGCUAAUACCGCAUAAGAGUAGAUGUUGCAUGACAUUUGCUUAAAAGGUGCAAUUGCAUCACUACCAGAUGGACCUGCGUUGUAUUAGCUAGUUGGUGAGGUAACGGCUCACCAAGGCGACGAUACAUAGCCGACCUGAGAGGGUGAUCGGCCACACUGGGACUGAGACACGGCCCAGACUCCUACGGGAGGCAGCAGUAGGGAAUCUUCGGCAAUGGACGGAAGUCUGACCGAGCAACGCCGCGUGAGUGAAGAAGGUUUUCGGAUCGUAAAGCUCUGUUGUAAGAGAAGAACGAGUGUGAGAGUGGAAAGUUCACACUGUGACGGUAUCUUACCAGAAAGGGACGGCUAACUACGUGCCAGCAGCCGCGGUAAUACGUAGGUCCCGAGCGUUGUCCGGAUUUAUUGGGCGUAAAGCGAGCGCAGGCGGUUAGAUAAGUCUGAAGUUAAAGGCUGUGGCUUAACCAUAGUACGCUUUGGAAACUGUUUAACUUGAGUGCAAGAGGGGAGAGUGGAAUUCCAUGUGUAGCGGUGAAAUGCGUAGAUAUAUGGAGGAACACCGGUGGCGAAAGCGGCUCUCUGGCUUGUAACUGACGCUGAGGCUCGAAAGCGUGGGGAGCAAACAGGAUUAGAUACCCUGGUAGUCCACGCCGUAAACGAUGAGUGCUAGGUGUUAGACCCUUUCCGGGGUUUAGUGCCGCAGCUAACGCAUUAAGCACUCCGCCUGGGGAGUACGACCGCAAGGUUGAAACUCAAAGGAAUUGACGGGGGCCCGCACAAGCGGUGGAGCAUGUGGUUUAAUUCGAGCAACGCGAAGAACCUUACCAGGUCUUUG
rnacentral:rRNA from 1 species